rnacentral:rRNA from 1 species
GAGGUAUGCUGGAGGUAUCAGAAGUGCGAAUGCUGACAUAAGUAACGAUAAUGCGGGUGAAAAACCCGCACGCCGGAAGACCAAGGGUUCCUGUCCAACGUUAAUCGGGGCAGGGUGAGUCGACCCCUAAGGCGAGGCAGAAAUGCGUAGUCGAUGGGAAACGGGUUAAUAUUCCCGUACUGGUGAUAAUUGCGAUGGGGGGACGGAGAAGGCUAGGCUAUCCGGGCGACGGUUGUCCCGGUUUAAGGAUGUAGGCAGGUGAAUUAGGCAAAUCCGGUUCACUAUAUGCUGAGGUCCGACGACGAGUCACUACGGUGAUGAAGUAGCUCAUGCCCCGCUUCCAGGAAAAGCCUCUAAGCUCUAGAUUAUCAUUAAUCGUACCCCAAACCGACACAGGUGGUCAGGUAGAGAAUACUCAGGCGCUUGAGAGAACUCGGGUGAAGGAACUAGGCAAAAUGGUGCCGUAACUUCGGGAGAAGGCACGCUGGCGCUAGGUGAAGUCCCUUGCGGAUGGAGCUGAAGCCAGUCGCAGAUACCAGCUGGCUGCAACUGUUUAUUAAAAACACAGCACUGUGCAAACACGAAAGUGGACGUAUACGGUGUGACGCCUGCCCGGUGCUGGAAGGUUAAUUGAUGGGGUUAUCCGUAAGGAGAAGCUCUUGAUCGAAGCCCCAGUAAACGGCGGCCGUAACUAUAACGGUCCUAAGGUAGCGAAAUUCCUUGUCGGGUAAGUUCCGACCUGCACGAAUGGCGUAAUGAUGGCCAGGCUGUCUCCACCCGAGACUCAGUGAAAUUGAACUCGCUGUGAAGAUGCAGUGUACCCGCGGCAAGACGGAAAGACCCCGUGAACCUUUACUAUAGCUUGACACUGAACAUUGAGCCUUGAUGUGUAGGAUAGGUGGGAGGCUUUGAAGUGUGGACGCCAGUCUGCAUGGAGCCAACCUUGAAAUACCACCCUUUAAUGUUUGAUGUUCUAACGUAGCCCCGUUAUCCGGGGUGCGGACAGUGUCUGGUGGGUAGUUUGACUGGGGCGGUCUCCUCCCAAAGAGUAACGGAGGAGCACGAAGGUUGGCUAAGCAUGGUCGGACAUCAUGCGGUUAGUGCAAAGGCAUAAGCCAGCUUGACUGCGAGAGUGACGGCUCGAGCAGGUACGAAAGUAGGUCUUAGUGAUCCGGUGGUUCUGAAUGGAAGGGCCAUCGCUCAACGGAUAAAAGGUACUCCGGGGAUAACAGGCUGAUACCGCCCAAGAGUUCAUAUCGACGGCGGUGUUUGGCACCUCGAUGUCGGCUCAUCACAUCCUGGGGCUGAAGUAGGUCCCAAGGGUACGGCUGUUCGCCGUUUAAAGUGGUACGCGAGCUGGGUUUAGAACGUCGUGAGACAGUUCGGUCCCUAUCUGCCGUGGGCGUUGGAAGAUUGAAAGGGGCUGCUCCUAGUACGAGAGGACCGGAGUGGACGCACCACUGGUGUUCGGGUUGUCAUGCCAAUGGCAUUGCCCGGUAGCUAAGUGCGGAAGAGAUAACCGCUGAAAGCAUCUAAGCGGGAAACUUGCC